CCGUUGCCGGCGACCGGCGCGCGGGUGAGUAACACGUAUGCAACCUGCCCGUGGCAGGGGGAUAAGCGGGGGAAACCCCGUCUAAUACCGCGUAACGCGGCCUUGGGGCAUCCCAAGGCCGCCAAAGGGAGCAAUCCCGGCCACGGAUGGGCAUGCGGCGCAUUAGCUAGUCGGCGGGGUAACGGCCCACCGAGGCGACGAUGCGUAGGGGUUCUGAGAGGAAGGCCCCCCACACUGGUACUGAGACACGGACCAGACUCCUACGGAAGGCAGCAG
rnacentral:rRNA from 1 species